rnacentral:rRNA from 1 species
UACAGAGGGGGCAAGCGUUGUUCGGAAUUACUGGGCGUAAAGGGCGCGUAGGCGGCCUGCUAAGUCGAACGUGAAAUCCCUGGGCUCAACCCAGGAACUGCGUCCGAUACUGGUUGGCUUGAAUCCGGGAGAGGGAUGUGGAAUUCCAGGUGUAGCGGUGAAAUGCGUAGAUAUCGUGAGGAACACCAGUGGCGAAGGCGACACUCUGGAGAGCAACUGACGCUGAGGCACGAAGGCCAGGGGAGCGAACGGG